rnacentral:RNase_P_RNA from 15 species
GAAAGCAGGCGAGGUGAUCGCGACCAGACUUUGUUCUGGUUGAGGAAAGUCCGGCCUCCUUAAUGACCAGGCUUGCUGGGUAAUACCCAGUGCGGGUAACCGUGAGGAAAGUGCCACAGAAACAUACCGCCAAUGACCUCGGGAAUUUUUCCAAGGUACAGGCAAGGGUGCAAAGGUGUGGUAAGAGCACACCAGCAAUAUCGAGAGAUAUUGACUUGGUAAACCCCAGCCAGGAGUAAGGCCUAGGGACAACGGUUGGUCCAUUUCCCUGUUCCGCUUUUGAGUGCCGCUUGAGAUUGUUGGUAACAGCAGUUCCAGAUAGAUGAUUACCCACUUCCUCUGAAUCUUCGUCAGUGGUAGUGAACAGAAUCCGGCUUACGUCCUGCUUUCAGAC